CCCUUAGAUGUUCUGGGCCGCACGCGCGCUACACUGAUGCAUUCAACGAGCCUAUCCUUGACCGACAGGUCCGGGUAAUCUUUGAAUCUGCAUCGUGACGGGGAUAGAUUAUUGCAAUUAUUAAUCUUCAACGAGGAAUGCCUAGUAGGCGCAAGUCAUCAGCUUGCGUCGAUUACGUCCCUGCCCUUUGUACACACCGCCCGUCGCUCCUACCGAUUGAACGGUUUAGUGAGGGCCUCGGAUUGGUCUCGGCCCGCUCUUUACCGGGCGGCGCCGUUGGUCGAGAAGACGCUCGAACUUGAUCGUUUAGAGGAAGUAAAAGUCGUAACA
rnacentral:rRNA from 1 species